GACGAACGCUGGCGGCGUGCUUAACACAUGCAAGUCGAGCGGUAAGGCCCUUUCGGGGGUACACGAGCGGCGAACGGGUGAGUAACACGUGGGUGACCUGCCCUCAGCUCUGGGAUAAGCCUGGGAAACUGGGUCUAAUACUGGAUAUGACUCCACGGUGCAUGUCGUGGGGUGGAAAGCCUUGUGCGGCUGAGGAUGGGCCCGCGGCCUAUCAGCUUGUUGGGGGGUGAUGGCCUACCAAGGCGACGACGGGUAGCCGGCCUGAGAGGGCGACCGGCCACACUGGGACUGAGACACGGCCCAGACUCCUACGGGAGGCAGCAGGUGGGGAAUCUUGCGCAAUGGGACGAAAGCCUGACGCAGCGACGCCGCGUGA
rnacentral:rRNA from 1 species